UACGAAAGGCAGCAGUGGGGAAUAUUGCACAAUGGGCGAAAGCCUGAUGCAGCUAUGCCGCGUGUAUGAAGAAGGCCUUAGGGUUGUAAAGUACUUUCAUCGGGGAGGAAAAAACAAAACUAAUAAUUUUAUUUCUUGACGUUACCCGAAAAAGAAGCACCGGCUAACUCCGUGCCAGCAGCCGCGGUAAUACGGAGGGUGCUAGCGUUAAUCAGAAUUACUGGGCGUAAAGAGCACGUAGGUGGUUUUUUUAAGUCAGAUGUGAAAUCCCUGGGCUUAACCUAGGAACUGCAUUUUGAAACUGAAAUACUAGAGUAUCGUAGAGGGAGGUAGAAUUCUAGGUGUAGCGGUGAAAUGCGUAGAUAUCUGGAGGAAUACCUGUGGCGAAAGCGGCCUCCUAAACGAAUACUGACACUGAGGUGCGAAAGCGUGGGGAGCAAACAGGGAUUAGAUACC
rnacentral:rRNA from 1 species